CCUACGGGCGGCAGCAGUGGGGAAUAUUGCACAAUGGGGGAAACCCUGAUGCAGCGACGCCGCGUGAGUGAAGAAGUAUUUCGGUAUGUAAAGCUCUAUCAGCAGGGAAGAAAAUGACGGUACCUGAUUCAGAAGCUCCGGCUAACUACGUGCCAGCAGCCGCGGUAAUACGGAGGGGGCAAGCGUUAUCCGGAUUUACUGGGUGUAAAGGGAGCGUAGACGGCAGCUCAAGUCUGGAGGGAAAGUCCGGGGCUUAACCCCGGAACUGCUUUGGAAACUGUGCAGCUAGAGUGCAGGAGAGGUAAGUGGAAGUCCGAGUGUAGCGGUGAAAUGCGUAGAUAUUAGGAGGAACACCAGUUGCGAAGGCGGCUUACUGGACUGUAACUGACGUUGAGGCUCGAAAGCGUGGGGAGCAAACAGGAUUAGAUACCCUGGUAGUC
rnacentral:rRNA from 1 species